rnacentral:rRNA from 1 species
CACGCCGUAAACGAUGGAUACUAGGUGUAGGGGGUAUCGACCCCCCCUGUGCCGCAGUUAACACAAUAAGUAUCCCACCUGGGGAGUACGGCCGCAAGGUUGAAACUCAAAGGAAUUGACGGGGGCCCGCACAAGCAGUGGAGUAUGUGGUUUAAUUCGAAGCAACGCGAAGAACCUUACCAGGAAUUGACAUCCCUCGCAAUCUGUUGAAAGACAGAGUUCCCUCGGGACGGGGAGACAGGUGG